GAUGAACGCUAGCGGCAGGCUUAACACAUGCAAGUCGAGGGGUAGUCUAGCAAUAGAUGAGACCGGCGCACGGGUGCGUAACGCGUAUGCAAUCUACCUUUUACAGAGGGAUAGCCCAGAGAAAUUUGGAUUAAUACCUCAUAGUAUAACGACUCGGCAUCGAGAUGUUAUUAAAGUUCCAACGGUAAAAGAUGAGCAUGCGUCCCAUUAGCUAGUUGGUGUGGUAACGGCACACCAAGGCAACGAUGGGUAGGGGUCCUGAGAGGGAGAUCCCCCACACCGGUACUGAGACACGGACCAGACUCCUACGGGAGGCAGCAGUGAGGAAUAUUGGUCAAUGGGCGCAAGCCUGAACCAGCCAUGCCGCGUGCAGGAUGACGGUCCUACGGAUUGUAAACUGCUUUUGUACAGGAAGAAACACUCCCUCGUGAGGGAGCUUGACGGUACUGUAAGAAUAAGGAUCGGCUAACUCCGUGCCAGCAGCCGCGGUAAUACGGAGGAUCCAAGCGUUAUCCGGAAUCAUUGGGUUUAAAGGGUCCGUAGGCGGGUUUAUAAGUCAGUGGUGAAAGCCCAUCGCUCAACGAUGGAACGGCCAUUGAUACUGUAGAUCUUGAAUUAUUAGGAAGUAACUAGAAUAUGUAGUGUAGCGGUGAAAUGCUUAGAGAUUACAUGGAAUACCAAUUGCGAAGGCAGGUUACUACUAAUGGAUUGACGCUGAUGGACGAAAGCGUGGGUAGCGAACAGGAUUAGAUACCCUGGUAGUCCACGCCGUAAACGAUGGAUACUAGCUGUUCGGAGCAAUCUGAGUGGNUAAGCGAAAGUGAUAAGUAUCCCACCUGGGGAGUACGUUCGCAAGAAUGAA
rnacentral:rRNA from 1 species